CAAAGAAUAGUUUAAUAAAAAUAAUAAUUUUGGAGAUUAUAGAUAGAGAGUUUCUUUUUCUUUGA
rnacentral:tRNA from 1 species